rnacentral:sRNA from 1 species
AGGGCGGGCCUUUCAGGCAUCCUCUCCCAAAACUUCUACAGGGCUGGUCUUCGGACCGGCCCUUUUUUUUUGCCUAU